GUGUCAGGAAGAGUACCAUACACAGAGAGAUGAGAACCGAGGUCUGUGUAAGGAGGUGGCUAAUCUACUUGAUACCAUCAGCAAGCUCCACUCCAGGGAAGUAAGUGUGAAGUGUAGCAUGUGUGAAACCUUACAAAAAUCUCUCGACACCUUCAGGCAGUCAUACAGUGACAGUCUGGCAGAAAAGGACAGGAUUAUCUCCAUACUAGAUGCAAGGUUGACUGAAAUUUCAGGUGGAGAAUCAAUACUGCCAACAAUCAAGCUAAGGUAU